CCCUCUUCCCUCCCAUCCCAUCUGCACACUGCCCUGCCAGCUCUUCCUUGCGGAAAUUUGCAUCGUGGGCUUGUAGGGACUGCUUCACUGAGCCAUGGUCUGUUCGGCUGCCCCACUGCUGCUCCUGGCCACAACUCUUCCCCUGCUGGGGUCACCAGUUGCCCAAGCAUCCCAACCUCUUUGGCCGAUGGCCCAAGGGCCAGACAAUGUGGGCCCAGACCUCCACCCUCACCCUGACAGAGGAGGAGUUGGUGAGGA
rnacentral:lncRNA from 1 species